CCAAUAGCGUAUAUUAAAGUUGUUGCAGUUAAAAAGCUCGUAGUUGAAUUUCGGGAUCAAUACGUCGGUCGUGCUUUCGGGUACGUACUGGUGUCAUUGGUUUCUCCUUUCUGACGAACCAUGAUGUCAUUAAUUUGGUGUUAUGGGGAGUUAGGACUGUUACUUUGAAAAAAUUAGAGUGUUUAAAGCAGGCAUUAGCUUGAAUACAUUAGCAUGGAAUAAUGAAAUAGGACGUUCGAUCCUAUUUUGUUGGUUUCUAGGAUCAACGUAAUGAUUAAUAGGGAUAGUUGGGGGCAUUAGUAUUCAAUUGUCAGAGGUGAAAUUCUUGGAUUUAUUGAAGACUAACUACUGCGAAAGCAUUUGCCAAGGAUGUUUUCAUUAAUCAAGAACGAAAGUUAGGGGAUCGAAGACGAUCAGAUACCGUCGUAGUCUUAACCAUAAACUAUGCCGACUAGGGAUCGGAUGAUGUUAAUUUUCUAAUGACUCAUUCGGCGCCUUACG
rnacentral:rRNA from 1 species